rnacentral:rRNA from 1 species
UACGUAGGGCGCAAGCGUUGUCCGGAAUUAUUGGGCGUAAAGAGCUCGUAGGCGGCCAGUUGCGUCCGCUGUGAAAUCCCGGGGCUUAACCCCGGGCGUGCAGUGGAUACGGGCUGGCUAGAGGCAGGCAGGGGGAGAACGGAAUUCCCGGUGUAGCGGUGAAAUGCGCAGAUAUCGGGAGGAACACCGGUGGCGAAGGCGGUUCUCUGGGCCUGUACUGACGCUGAGGAGCGAAAGCGUGGGGAGCAAACAGG